UCAGCUCCCUCACGCGCACUGAUGCCAGAGCCGGAAUAUGACAUCAUAUUCCGGCUCCGGCAUCAGUGAUGUGCGCGAGGGAGCUGA